rnacentral:rRNA from 1 species
CGGACGGGUGAGUAAUGCUUGGGAAUCUGGCUUAUGGAGGGGGAUAACUACGGGAAACUGUAGCUAAUACCGCGUAGUAUCGAGAGAUGAAAGACUGGGACCGCAAGGCCAGUUGCCAUAAGAUGAGCCCAAGUGGGAUUAGGUAGUUGGUGGGGUAAAGGCCUACCAAGCCGACGAUCUCUAGCUGGUCUGAGAGGAUGACCAGCCACACUGGAACUGAGACACGGUCCAGACUCCUACGGGAGGCAGCAGUGGGGAAUAUUGCACAAUGGGGGGAACCCUGAUGCAGCCAUGCCGCGUGAAUGAAGAAGGCCUUCGGGUUGUAAAGUUCUUUCGGUGAUGAGGAAGGGUAGUGUUUUAAUAGAACAUUACAUUGACGUUAGUCACAGAAGAAGCACCGGCUAACUCCGUGCCAGCAGCCGCGGUAAUACGGAGGGUGCGAGCGUUAAUCGGAAUGACUGGGCGUAAAGGGCACGCAGGCGGUGACUUAAGUGAGAUGUGAAAGCCCCGAGCUUAACUUGGGAAUUGCAUUUCAUACUGGGUUGCUAGAGUAUUUUAGGGAGGGGUAGAAUUCCACGUGUAGCGGUGAAAUGCGUAGAGAUGUGGAGGAAUACCGAAGGCGAAGGCAGCCCCUUGGGAAAAUACUGACGCUCAUGUGCGAAAGCGUGGGGAGCAAACAGGAUUAGAUACCCUGGUAGUCCACGCUGUAAACGCUGU